GUCUGUGAAAUUCCGGGGNUUAACUCCGGGCGUGCAGGCGAUACGGGCACGACUAGAGUGCUGUAGGGGUAACUGGAAUUCCUGGUGUAGCGGUGAAAUGCGCAGAUAUCAGGAGGAACACCGAUGGCGAAGGCAGGUUACUGGNCAGUUACUGACGCUGAGGAGCGAAAGCAUGGGGAGCGAACAGGAUUAGAUACCCUGGUAGUCCAUGCUGUAAACGGUGGGCGCUAGGUGUGGGCUGUGUGUUUGCAGUCUGUGCCGUAGCUAACGCAUUAAGCGCCCCGCCUGGGGAGUACGGCCGCAAGGCUAAAACUCAAAGGAAUUGACGGGGGCCCGCACAAGCGGCGGAGCAUGUGGAUUAAUUCGAUGCAACGCGAAGAACCUUACCUGGGUUUGACAUGCACCAGAUCGGCGUAGAGAUACGUCCUCCCUUGUGGUUGGUGCACAGGUGGUGCAUGGUUGUCGUCAGCUCGUGUCGUGAGAUGUUGGGUUAAGUCCCGCAACGAGCGCAACCCUUGUCUUAUGUUGCCAGCACAUUUUUGGUGGGGACUCAUGAGAAACUGCCGGGGUCAACUCGGAGGAAGGUGGGGAUGACGUCAAAUCAUCAUGCCCUUUAUACCCAGGGCUUCACACAUGCUACAAUGGUCGGUACAACGGGUUGCGACACUGUGAAGUGAAGCUAAUCUCUUAAAGCCGGCCUCAGUUCGGAUUGGGGUCUGCAACUCGACCCCAUG
rnacentral:rRNA from 1 species